rnacentral:rRNA from 1 species
GAGUUUGAUCCUGGCUCAGAACGAACGCUGGCGGCAGGCCUAACACAUGCAAGUCGAGCGCUACCUUCGGGUGGAGCGGCGGACGGGUUAGUAACGCGUGGGAAUAUACCCAGUUCUAAGGAAUAGCCACUGGAAACGGUGAGUAAUACCUUAUACGCCCUUCGGGGGAAAGAUUUAUCGGAAUUGGAUUAGCCCGCGUUAGAUUAGAUAGUUGGUGGGGUAAUGGCCUACCAAGUCUACGAUCUAUAGCUGGUUUGAGAGGAUGAUCAGCAACACUGGGACUGAGGCACGGCCCAGACUCCUACGGGAGGCAGCAGUGGGGAAUCUUAGACAAUGGGCGCAAGCCUGAUCUAGCCAUGCCGCGUGAGUGAUGAAGGCCCUAGGGUCGUAAAGCUCUUUCAACUGUGAAGAUAAUGACGGUAGCAGUAGAAGAAACCCCGGCUAACUCCGUGCCAGCAGCCGCGGUAAUACGGAGGGGGUUAGCGUUGUUCGGAAUUACUGGGCGUAAAGCGUACGUAGACGGAUUAAUAAGUUAGAGGUGAAAUCCCAGGGCUCAACCCUGGAACUGCCUUUAAAACUGUUAGUCUUGAGAUCGAGAGAGGUGAGUGGAAUUCCAAGUGUAGAGGUGAAAUUCGUAGAUAUUUGGAGGAACACCAGUGGCGAAGGCGGCUCACUGGCUCGAUACUGACGCUGAGGUACGAAAGUGUGGGGAGCAAACAGGAUUAGAUACCCUGGUAGUCCACACCGUAAACGAUGAAUGCCAGACGUCAGCAAGCAUGCUUGUUGGUGUCACACCUAACGGAUUAAGCAUUCCGCCUGGGGAGUACGGUCGCAAGAUUAAAACUCAAAGGAAUUGACGGGGGCCCGCACAAGCGGUGGAGCAUGUGGUUUAAUUCGACGCAACGCGCAGAACCUUACCAACCCUUGACAUACUUGUCGCGGAUUCCAGAGAUGGAUUCCUUCAGUUCGGCUGGACAAUGUACAGGUGCUGCAUGGCUGUCGUCAGCUCGUGUCGUGAGAUGUUCGGUUAAGUCCGGCAACGAGCGCAACCCACGUCCUUAGUUACCAGCAUUUAGUUGGGUACCCUAAGGAGACUGCCGGUGAUAAGCCGGAGGAAGGUGUGGACGACGUCAAGUCAUCAUGGCCCUUACGGGUUGGGCUACACACGUGCUACAAUGGCAUCUACAGUGAGUUAAUCUCCAAAAGAUGUCUCAGUUCGGAUUGGGGUCUGCAACUCGACCCCAUGAAGUUGGAAUCGCUAGUAAUCGCGGAACAGCAUGCCGCGGUGAAUACGUUCCCGGGCCUUGUACACACCGCCCGUCACACCAUGGGAAUUGGGUCUACCCGAAGGUGGUGCGCCAACUAUUUAUAGGGGCAGCCAACCACGGUAGGUUCAGUGACUGGGGUGAAGUCGUAACAAGGUAACC